GAUGGCGUCGCCGGCUGCCGGAAGCAAAGCGAGGAACAGAUGUUGUGUGAGCCCUGAGGUCUCCAGUCUUCCUGUUUCCCAUCUCGCCGGGCUCCUAUCUCAGCUGGUCUGUUUUCAGCUUCGAGAAAAUUCCUCAUCACUGCCCAGACGCAAGUUGUCCAUUAGGGUUGGAGCUUGGAUGGUGUGUGUGUAGUACUUGAAAUCCAGAGAGAGAGACACAGAGACAGAGAGAGACAGAGAAGGGGGCACGGCCUCCGUACUUAGGAGUCUUCAUCUUCAUUUUACCUGGAGCAUCAGAGAAUCAUGGCUUUAUUUCCAUCGUGAACCCUUUUGAAAUUCUGAGGGACAAACAUGUGAAGUGUACAAGCUAAGAAGAGAAGCCUCAGGAGAAACCAACCCUUCUGGCAUCUUGACCUUGGACUUCCAGCCUCCAGAACUGUGAAAAAAAAUACAUCUGUGUUGUUUAAGCGGGGAAAAAAAAAAAAAACUGGCUUAAAAUCUGGCUUGCAAAAUUACUGGAAAUGAGGUCUCCCAAGCCAGUGUGUGCUGGAUCCAGCAUACUACUGCCUCCACCCCAUGGCCAAUAGAAGCCCGUGGAAAGUUCUUCAGACCAGCUCUGAAGCCUUCCCCUGGCUGGUCUCUGAAGCAUCCACACUGCAGGCCCAGCCAGGAUGGCUGUCCUGUUGUCAGCCCUUAGAGUUCUGAGCAAGAUGGGAAGUUGCCAACUUAGGAAAGUAUCCUUUGUCAUGCACCAUCUCCUCCAAGGAAGCCGGGUUUGUCCUGUCUGAGACUGGACUGCUUCAGAAAGAGGAUUCAAAGAUACCCAAUUUUCAGCCUAUUCGAUACUUGAGAAAAUUCUACCAACUCUCACAAAGGGACGUUCCUGUGAAAGGAAAAGUGCUCGUAAGUCCAAAGAAAUCAGUGUGGGGAAUUCCGGUUUCCUUCAGGGAUAUUGAAGAGAAAUUCCAGAGGCCAAACCUAUUCUCUUGACUUACCGUCAGGGCAGCGGGGCGCUAUGGGUACACCCCCCCAGAACAAGA